rnacentral:rRNA from 1 species
UGGGGAAUAUUGCACAAUGGGCGAAAGCCUGAUGCAGCAACGCCGCGUGAGUGAUGAAGGCCUUCGGGUUGUAAAGCUCUGUCUUUUGGGACGAUAAUGACGGUACCAAAGGAGGAAGCCACGGCUAACUACGUGCCGGCAGCCGCGGUAAUACGUAGGUGGCAAGCGUUGUCCGGAUUUACUGGGGCGUAAAGGAUGCGUAGGCGGAUUUUUUAAGUGAGAUGUGAAAACCCUAAGCUUAACUUGGGGACUGCAUUUCAUACUGGAAAUCUAGAGUGCGGGAGAGGAGAAUGGAAUUCCUAGUGUAGCGGUGAAAUGCGUAGAGAUUAGGAAGGAACACCAGUGGCGAAGGCGAUUCUCUGGACCGUAACUGACGCUGAGGCAUGAAAGCGUGGGUAGCAAACAGGAUUAGAUACCCCUGGUAGUCCACGCCGUAAACGAUGAGUACUAGGUGUAGGAGGUAUCGACCCCUUCUGUGCCGCAGUUAACACAAUAAGUACUCCGCCUGGGAAGUACGAUCGCAAGAUUAAAAACUCAAAGGAAUUGACGGGGGUCAUAGCUGUUUUUCCU